rnacentral:rRNA from 1 species
AUUGAACGCUGGCGGCAGGCCUAACACAUGCAAGUCGAGCGGAUGAAGGGAGCUUGCUCCUGGAUUCAGCGGCGGACGGGUGAGUAAUGCCUAGGAAUCUGCCUGGUAGUGGGGGAUAACGUCCGGAAACGGGCGCUAAUACCGCAUACGUCCUGAGGGAGAAAGUGGGGGAUCUUCGGACCUCACGCUAUCAGAUGAGCCUAGGUCGGAUUAGCUAGUUGGUGGGGUAAAGGCCUACCAAGGCGACGAUCCGUAACUGGUCUGAGAGGAUGAUCAGGCACACUGGAACUGAGACACGGUCCAGACUCCUACGUGAGGCAGCAGUGGGGAAUAUUGGACGAAGGGCGAAAGCCUGAUCCAGCCAUGCCGCGUGUGUGAAGAAGGUCUUCGGAUUGUAAAGCACUUUAAGUUGGGAGGAAGGGCAGUAAGUUAAUACCUUGCUGCUUUGACGUUACCAACAGAAUAAGCACCGGCUAACUUCGUG